GACGAACGCUGGCGGCGUGCCUAAUACAUGCAAGUCGAACGCACAGUUUAUACCGUAGCUUGCUACACCAUAGACUGUGAGUUGCGAACGGGUGAGUAACGCGUAGGUAACCUGCCUGGUAGCGGGGGAUAACUAUUGGAAACGAUAGCUAAUACCGCAUAAUAUUAAUUAUUGCAUGAUAAUUAAUUGAAAGGUGCAAUUGCACCACUACCAGAUGGACCUGCGUUGUAUUAGCUAGUAGGUGAGGUAACGGCUCACCUAGGCGACGAUACAUAGCCGACCUGGGAGGGUGAGCGGCCACACUGGGACUGGGACACGGCCCAGACUCCUACGGGAGGCAGCAGUAGGGAAUCUUCGGCAAUGGACGAAAGUCUGACCGAGCAACGCCGCGUGAGGGAAGAAGGUUUUCGGAUCGUAAAGCUCUGUUGUAAGAGAAGAACGGGUGUGAGAGUGGAAAGUUCACACUGUGACGGUAUCUUACCAGAAAGGGACGGCUAACUACGUG
rnacentral:rRNA from 1 species